rnacentral:rRNA from 1 species
UUCCGGUUGAUCCUGCCGGAGGCCAUUGCUAUCGGAGUCCGAUUUAGCCAUGCUAGUCGAGCGAGGUUAGCCCUCGCGGCGAACAGCUCAGUAACACGUGGCCAAGCUACCCUGCAGAGGGGGACAGCGUCGGGAAACUGACGGGAAUCCCCCAUACCGGUCUCACGCUGGAAUGCCGAGACCGACAAACGCUCCGGCGCUGCAGGAUGCGGCUGCGGCCGAUUAGGUGGUCGGUGGGGUAACGGCCCACCGAGCCGAUAAUUGGUACGGGGUGUGAGAGCACGAGCCCGGAGACGGAAUCUGAGACAAGAUUCCGGGCCCUACGGGGCGCAGCAGGCGCGAAACCUUUACACUGCACGAACGUGCGAUAAGGGGACUCCGAGUGCGAGGGCAUACAGUCCUCGCUAUUGUGUACCGUAGGGUGGUACACGACCAAGAGCUGGGCAAGACCGGUGCCAGCCGCCGCGGUAAUACCGGCAGCUCGAGUGAUGGCCGAUUUUAUUGGGCCUAAAGCGUCCGUAGCUGGCCCUGCAAGUCCGUCGGGAAAUCCGCUCGCCUAACGAGUGGGCGUCCGGCGGAAACUACAGGGCUUGGGACCGGAAGACUUGAGGGGUACGUUUGGGGUAGGAGUGAAAUCCUGUAAUCCUGGACGGACCGCCGAUAGCGAAAGCACCUCAAGACGACGGAUCCGACAGUGAGGGACGAAAGCUAGGGUCUCGAACCGGAUUA